GAUGAACGCUGGCGGCGUGCCUAAUACAUGCAAGUCGAGCGAACGGACGAGAAGCUUGCUUUUCUGAUGUUAGCGGCGGACGGGUGAGUAACACUUGGAUAACCUACCUAUAAGACUGGGAUAACUUCGGGAAACCGGAGCUAAUACCGGAUAAUAUUUUGAACCGCAUGGUUCAAAAGUGAAAGACGGUCUUGCUGUCACUUAUAGAUGGAUCCGCGCUGCAUUAGCUAGUUGGUAAGGUAACGGCUUACCAAGGCAACGAUGCAUAGCCGACCUGAGAGGGUGAUCGGCCACACUGGAACUGAGACACGGUCCAGACGCCUAAGGGAGGAAGCAGUAGGGAAUCUUCCGCAAUGGGCGAAAGCCUGACGGAGCAACGCCGCGUGAGUGAUGAAGGUCUUCGGAUCGUAAAACUCUGUUAUUAGGGAAGAACAUAUGUGUAAGUAACUGUGCACAUAUUGAAGGUAACUAAUCAGAAAGCCAAGGCUAACUACGUG
rnacentral:rRNA from 1 species